UAUACACACUAAUCUGUUUCUUGUUCACAGUAACAGAGAAGUUAAGGCCUCUACUAUUUAUUUCACUAUAUAUUUAACAUUAUGUUCUUUAAAAGUUAUAAAAUUCCUGAUGAUAUCAACUUUCGGGAUUUUUUGUCUCUUUAUUCUGAAUCAAACAGAUGUUCAUGAAUUAAUGAAUGGCUAAUAUUGCUACUUCAUAUGUAUGGUGCAUUCAAAUUUUGUAGACUAAGAUUGUAUGGUAUUUUGGUAUAUUAAGCAUUGAUGACUUAUUUGUAGAUGUACAUACAAAUGUUCAUGCAUUCCUUCAUAUAAUUUCCAGAUAGGUAAGAAUUAAUUCAUACAAUGAAAUUUUCUUUUUCAUGAACAUUUGUGCAAUCAUAAAAACUAGUACAUUGUAUUCUUAAAUAUUAGCCUGAUAUUUACAUUUUAUCAAUUACUCUUUAUUAGAUAGCCUAUGAUGAUCUAAGUAUGCUAGGAAUUAUACUUGCAAUAGCAGUGAUAUUAUUUUUAUACAAAUCAGCAUUGCUUUCUACAUAGAGAUCUAUAUUUAUAUGUGAUCUAUUAUUGUAUCUAAAAUGAAUAAUACACAUGUAUUAGAUAUUUCAGUGAUGGGGUGCUGGUGUCUUUAGAUAAAUCGGAUGCAUGCAUGUAGACAGAAAUUGACUAUGUUCUUUUAAACAUAUACUGUAAAUUCCUUAUUUUACGCGAGAACUUAAUUCCGCGAUUCCGCUGUUUUGUAUCAAAUCGCAAGAAUAUAAAAUCGCGAGCACAAACUUUUUGUAAUGAUUUCAUAUAGUUCAAAACUGUCUGGAAAAUGAAAGCAAGAUUUUAAAAUCAGCAAGGGUUGUUUCUCACAAUUUUACGUGGAGAUUAAUUCCUCACAUUUAAUUAGGAAUCUACAGUAACAGCCAUUGUAAACAUAUAAAUUGGCAUUAAAUUUGUUAGCAAGGGAAUUGGAACCUCUAUUGUAACCCCUAGUGUUUCGCACAGUUUGAAUAGAUUCUGAAUUUAAAAUGUUGCAUUUGGGUUUACAGUGUUAAACUUGAUUACCGGUAGUUUGCUUACAGAGGUUAAUUUUAUUUUCGUGCAUGACCUAUGGCUAUUUGCUGUCUCAGAUUCAAAUUUUUACAAAGAAAUUUUUCAUCACAUUCCAAAGACAUUUCUCUCUCAGGUGUAUUUGAAUUUUUAUUUCUACCACUGUAUUCAUUCUAAAUAGAUGUUUAUUCUUAAGAUUUUUUUUUUAUUGAAAAAAUCUAUAUUUACAAUAUUUGAAUAUUGAUAUUAUUCAAAAUAGUUAUAAUAUACAUGUAUAUCACAGUGCAUGCAUUUAACUUUUUGUUUUAUUUGUUAUAUUUAUUAUGUAUGAAAUAUAGCAAGUUUUAAUAUAUGAUGCACAUAUUACAUGUAUUAUAUAUUAUGGAAUGAAUGAAACUUAAUUUUAGAAGACUUUUAUCUUAGAAAAGUUGAACUUGUGUCGUUAUGAUUCAUUUAUUUAUUUAGCACAAUUAAUAAAUGUAAAAGUUGAUCUUUUUCUUUCAUUUUGAAAUUGUUGACAAGUUUCCUGUUUGUAUUUCACUUUGUCUUUUUCUGAAUAAACAACCUUAGGAGCAUUUAAUUAUCUGUCUGUCUGCUUGUAUAGAAGUUUUAUACUAA
rnacentral:sRNA from 1 species